UACGUAGGGGGCAAGCGUUGUUCGGAAUUACUGGGCGUAAAGGGUGCGCAGGCCGCGCGGGCAGUCAAAUGUGUAAUUCAGGGGCUCAACCCCUGCACUGCGCUUGAUACUUCCGCGCUCGAGCUUUGGAGAGGAGUCUGGAAUUCUCGGUGUAGCAGUGAAAUGCGUGGAUAUCGAGAAGAACACUUAGGGCGUAGGCAAGACUCUGGACAAAUGCUGACGCUCAUGCACGAAGGCUAGGGUAGCGAACGGG
rnacentral:rRNA from 1 species